rnacentral:rRNA from 1 species
GACGAACGCUGGCGGCGUGCUUAACACAUGCAAGUCGAACGGAAAGGCCCUGCUUUUGUGGGGUGCUCGAGUGGCGAACGGGUGAGUAACACGUGAGUAACCUGCCCUUGACUUUGGGAUAACUUCAGGAAACUGGGGCUAAUACCGGAUAGGAGCUCCUGCUGCAUGGUGGGGGUUGGAAAGUUUCGGCGGUUGGGGAUGGACUCGCGGCUUAUCAGCUUGUUGGUGGGGUAGUGGCUUACCAAGGCUUUGACGGGUAGCCGGCCUGAGAGGGUGACCGGCCACAUUGGGACUGAGAUACGGCCCAGACUCAUACGGGAGGCAGCAGUGGGGAAUAUUGCACAAUGGGCGGAAGCCUGAUGCAGCAACGCCGCGUGCGGGAUGACGGCCUUCGGGUGGUAAACCGCUUUCGCCUGUGACGAAGCGUGAGGGACGGUAAUGGGUAAAGAAGCACCGGCUAACUACGG